AAAGGGCGGCGUGCCUAUACAUGCAAGUCGAGCGGACCGACGGGAGCUUGCUCCCUUAGGUCAGCGGCGGACGGGUGAGUAACACGUGGGUAACCUGCCUGUAAGACUGGGAUAACUCCGGGAAACCGGGGCUAAUACCGGAUGCUUGAUUGAACCGCAUGGUUCAAUCAUAAAAGGCGGCUUCGGCUGCCGUUUACAGAUGGACCCGCGGCGCAUUAGCUAGUUGGUGAGGUAACGGCUCACCAAGGCGACGAUGCGUAGCCGACCUGAGAGGGUGAUCGGCCACACUGGGACUGAGACACGGCCCAGACUCCUACGGGAGGCAGCAGUAGGGAAUCUUCCGCAAUGGACGAAAGUCUGACGGAGCAACGCCGCGUGAGUGAUGAAGGUUUUCGGAUCGUAAAGCUCUGUUGUUAGGGAAGAACAAGUACCGUUCGAAUAGGGCGGUACCUUGACGGUACCUAACCAGAAAGCCACGGCUAACUACGUGCCAGCAGCCGCGGUAAUACGUAGGUGGCAAGCGUUGUCCGGAAUUAUUGGGCGUAAAGCGCGCGCAGGCGGUUUCUUAAGUCUGAUGUGAAAGCCCCCGGCUCAACCGGGGAGGGUCAUUGGAAACUGGGGAACUUGAGUGCAGAAGAGGAGAGUGGAAUUCCACGUGUAGCGGUGAAAUGCGUAGAGAUGUGGAGGAACACCAGUGGCGAAGGCGACUCUCUGGUCUGUAACUGACGCUGAGGCGCGAAAGCGUGAGGAGCGAACAGGAUUAGAUACCCUGGUAGUCCACGCCGUAAACGAUGAGUGCUAAGUGUUAGAGGGUUUCCGCCCUUUAGUGCUGCAGCAAACGCAUUAAGCACUCCGCCUGGGGAGUACGGUCGCAAGACUGAAACUCAAGGAAAUGACGGGGGCCGCACAAGCGGUGGAGCAUGUGGUUUAAUUCAAACAACGCGACAACCCUACAAGGUCUGACAUCCUCUAAAUCCCUAAAGAUAAGGUUCCCCCUCGGGGGCAAGUGACAGGUGGUGCAUGGGUGGCGUCCGCUCCGGUCUGAGAAGUUGGGUAAAUCCCCGACAAGCGCACCCCUGAUCUAAUUUGCCCCCUUUCGUUGGGCCUUCAAGGGGACUGCCGGGAAAAACCGGAAAAAAGGGGGAAAGAACGUAAACUUUCUGCCCCUUAUGACCGGGGCUACACCCCGUGCUCAAGUGGGAAAAAAAAAGGGGAGAGAAAAACCCCGAGGGCUCACCACCCCUCCCCCAAACCUUGUCUUCUCCCUUCUCGCCAAACACCACCCCCCUCCCACACACCCUCCCGCCCGGGGGGGAGAAAAGGGGAAAAAAGCACC
rnacentral:rRNA from 1 species